CUCGGAGUCGCGCGAGGGGCGGCGCCUCGCAGCUGCCGGGAGCGGCGCCGCGAGCCGGGCAGGAGCGCGUGGCAGAGUCCCGUACGGCCCGGGACACUCAGUUCUCAGCAUACGCUCAGUCCUCCAACUUAAAGCAGCAUUUUGCUUCGGAUAGUGCCGAGCACCCUGCAGCCUUGAUAUGAAACGCUGUCGAGAUUCAGUAAUUGUAACUUGAAUAUCUAAUGUGACUGCGAGUGUUCCCUGAAACGAAAAAUGCCUCAGUUUUUUGGGCCUCGUGGCACUAAUCCACCUGGAAAUUUCAUUUGGGAUGUAAUUUGCGGCAUUGAAAUAAACGUAAAAAUUCAGUCAACUUUAAAAAGAUAAGAAUUCAGACUCUGAUUCUGAAAUUCGAAAUGUCUAAAUGGUAACGGGAGGUAUAAAUGAUGAUGAUGGUCUGAAACUGCAUAGCCAGUAUGACUCGGACACUCCCAAUUUUUUUUUAACAUGUUCGAGUCACAAAUCCUACAAGGACCUAAAAGAAAGAUGGCAGUCUACGGAAGCUGAAGAUGCUCCAUACAUUUUAUCAAAAGUGUGCAACCUAUAAGAUCUAAUGUCAAUAGUAAGAUGUUCUUUAGCUGCAUUAGCUAAACAAGAAAUGAGCUCGACCGUGAUUCUGUGCGCUGAAAUCAGUGGCAGCGAUAAAACAUUAUGUCUAAUGUGGAGAAAGAUACCAGCCUAUCAGCGACAAGAUCUGCAGUCGAUCAGACAAUAAAAAGGAGUUCAGAGUCAAGGUGACCAGAAGCAGCAGUGUUGGAGUAAGCGUCUGGAAAAUCUGUAAUUGAUACACUGAGGUGUAGAGAAAAAACUAAGUCACGGCCUGAAGCAGUAAUCGAGCACCUGGUGCUCAGCAGGGCAGAUUCAGGGGUGCUCAGGUGCAAUCAAUGCAGCUGAGAGGCCUGCAGGGGUGGAGCCAGGAUCCACCCCUUCCCAGACCUCAUUUAAGGGUUGGCAGGGGAGGUGAGGGCAUCACUUUCCAGAGAUUCCUGCCUGCCUGAGCUCUUCUAAAGCUGAGCAGCUCCCUUCCUUUCUGUGUCUGCUGCAUUUGAGUUCAUUCUUGUCUGCUUUAACCAAAGACUUUCCCACCCUGCUAUUAUCACCCCAUGCCAGCCUUACAAAAGGGCAGUUUCAGUGGAGGGCAGUUACUGCUCCUAUUCUCAAAGCAGGAUGAAAUAGAGCAUAAAGGGAGAGGGAUGAAAGGUCAAAGUAACAGUGGUGCGUUAAAGCUCGGGCAGUUACUUUGACAGCAUCACAGCACUCAGUGAAAGGCAAUCACUGCUUUUUCAGGUUUGUAUUUAUGUGGAUGCCAUUGUCAAGCACAAGUGGGAUCUGCAGAGGCUCAAGCACCUGCGGGAGCUGUCAACACAGGGAACAGAGGGUUUCCCACUGCGCCUUACUCUGCCUGGGAUUUCGGUGGUGGCAAAGGUCAUCCUGGAAAUGCAGACACCGAAAAUCAUGGGAACACGUAUUAGAACACCCAAGUGGCCGAUCGCAAGAGGGGAACUUUUUCUCCCCUUCCCUGUUCCCCGUGAUUAAUAAGCUAACAUAUGCGGCAAGGGAAUAAGGCAGGAGCACAUGAAGAGCAGGUACAUCCCUUUCUUUGUGGUUGCAGGUACUGCAAAACAGCCCUAGUGUAUACAGGACAUACUUGGAUGGACACUCACUACAGGAACAUUUCACCUCCAGCUGCUUACCCAAGCCCUUUCAGAAGUUUCACAGGAGCCCAGCUACCAACCGAGGAUGUUGAAUAUCCUCCCAGAACACCAGCUGCAUCAGGACCUGAAGAAAAAAAGAGCUCUGCAGUGUUGGAACUCACCAAGGCAGACAACAG